rnacentral:rRNA from 1 species
UACGUAGGGUGCAAGCGUUAAUCGGAAUUACUGGGCGUAAAGCGUGCGCAGGCGGUUUUGUAAGUUUGUCGUGAAAUCCCCGGGCUCAACCUGGGAAUUGCGAUGGAGACUGCAAGGCUAGAAUCUGGCAGAGGGGGGUAGAAUUCCACGUGUGAGCAGUGAAAUGACGUAGAGAUGUGGAGGAACACCGAUGGCGAAGGCAGCCCCUGGGUCAAGAUUGACGCUCAUGCACG